GGAGAUGUAGCUCAGUUGUAGAGUGUUUGCCCAGCAAGCAUGAGGCUUUGGGUUCAAUCCCCAGCACCCCA
rnacentral:tRNA from 1 species